CGGGGUGUAGCGCAGUCCGGUUAGCGCACCUGCUUUGGGAGCAGGGGGUC
rnacentral:tRNA from 1 species